rnacentral:rRNA from 1 species
UCGAGAAUUUUUCACAAUGGGCGCAAGCCUGAUGGAGCGACGCCGCGUGGGGGAUGAAUGGCUUCGGCCCGUAAACCCCUGUCAUUUGCGAUCAAACCUUGCUAUUUAAAAGAUGGCGAGCUGAUAGUAGCGAAAGAGGAAGGGACGGCUAACUCUGUGCCAGCAGCCGCGGUAAUAAAGAGGUCCCAAGCGUUGUUCGGAUUCACUGGGCGUAAAGGGUGCGUAGGUGGUGGGGUAAGUCGGAUGUGAAAUCUCGGAGCUCAACGCCGAAAUGGCAUUGGAAACUACCCUGCUAGAGGGUCGGAGGGGGGACUGGAAUUCGCGGUGUAGCAGUGAAAUGCGUAGAUAUCGAGAGGAACACCAGUGGCGAAGGCGAGUCCCUGGACGACUCCUGACACUGAGGCACGAAAGCUAGGGGAGCAAAC